AAGUCGGACGNCAAGGUGCAGCGAUGCACCCUAGAGUGGGCGGACUGGUGAGUAACGCGUGGGUGACCUACCUGCUGGGACGGGGAUAGCCAUUAGAAAUAGUGGGUAAUACCGGAUAAAGGUUGCGAGACUGUGGUUUUGCAAAGAAAGGAGCCUUGGCUCCGCCAGGGGAUGGGCCCGCGUCCCCAUUAGCUAGUUGGAGAGGUAAAGGCUCCCCAAGGCGAUGAUGGGUAGCCGGCCUGAGAGGGUGAACGGCCACAUUGGGACUGAGAUACGGCCCAAACUCCUACGGGAGGCAGCAGCUAAGAAUAUUCCGCAAUGGACGAAAGUCUGACGGAGCGACGCCGCGUGGAUGAAGAAGGCCGAAAGGUUGUAAAAUUCUUUUGCCGGAGAAGAAUAAGUGCGGUAGGGAAUGACCGCAUGAUGACGUUAACCGGUGAAUAAGCCCCGGCUAAUUACGUGCCAGCAGCCGCGGUAACACGUAAGGGGCGAGCGUUGUUCGGAAUUAUUGGGCGUAAAGGGCGCGUAGGCGGUUUUGCAAGUCCGGCGUGAAAGGCAGGAGCUUAACUCCUGGACUGCGUUGGAAACUGCGAAACUUGAGUCACGGAGGGGGAGUUGGAAUUCCGAGUGUAGGGGUGAAAUCUGUAGAUAUUCGGAAGAACACCGGUGCGAAGGCGAACUU
rnacentral:rRNA from 1 species